GGCUGCGUUCUAACCACCGAGCUGCAGAAGUGCUACCUCCCAGACUGUGUCCUCCUCUGGCCUGGAGACAAAGCAGGCAGUAACCACAGGGCCUGCUGUCUCAUGAGGGCUCGGCCCACUCACGCCAGGGCUCCCGGGAGCAGGAAUUGCUGAGAUCGGGACACAGAGGCUCACAGGGGAUUAUGCACACUUCCAAGGUCACACAACUAAGAAUUGGGAGACCUGGAGUUUGAACUCCCAUAUCUCUAACUACAGAGCUAAAGGGCUUGGCACCUGCCCCAUACUGCCAAGGAUUACUGGCAGGGAGAUUAUGGAUCUGUGCUUUCAUGGCCAAAACUCUGAUGGUUUCUCGGAGGAUGUCCAUUGUCAUCAAUAUCAAUUGUGCAUCAUUCUCUGACAACACAGAGAGAAAGACAGAAUCACAAUGGCAUUCGAGUAGCUGAUCCCAGUCCUCCAGGUGUAACCCUUGCAUCUCCUACAAUUCAGUUAUAUAAACCAAUGAUUUCCCUCUUUUACCUGAGCUAGCUAGGGUUCCAUCGCCUGAGAUUAAAACAGUUCUAUCACAGUAUGCUCUAGAUUUUGGUUCAGCAGGGACAACAGGGAGUCCAUAGGAAUGCAGGUGUGGUAUGGCAUAGUGAAGGGAGUACAGGAGACAAGUUUGAGCUGGAGAGACCAGCAGGGAGCCCUUGCAGUGUGGACUAUGCCAGUGGUCUGGGGGGAGGUGAUGAGGGCUAGAACAGGGCAGGUGGUCACGGGCCAGUGGGGAUGGAGUCAAGAGAUGUUUCACUGAUACACAUUCUUAGACUUGGAGAUUGACUAAAACUGGGGAGCUGAUGGUCAUGCCAUUUGCUGAACAAGAAACCAAGGAGGCAGAGCAGACUCCAGGGAGGGGAGAAGAGGAGCAACGGAUAAUAAGCUCGACUGUGGGGUGCUGAGCGGUCCGACUGGGGGUGGCUCCUUUCAGCCAACACAAUAUGUUCUGGCACUGUGACGCAGGUGUGCUGUGCAGUCACCUGCUGCUCACAGCUUCAGCCUGACCCACUCAUUCUAACUUGUGCCUCACACCCUGUGUUUUCUUCUCUCAGUCACCACAUCUUAUUUUUGCCCUUGAACCACCCUGAAGAUG